rnacentral:rRNA from 1 species
AACGCGUAUACAAUCUACCUUUUACAGAGGGAUAGCCCAGAGAAAUUUGGAUUAAUACCUCAUAGUAUUUUCGAAUGGCAUCAUUUGAUUAUUAAAGUUCCAACGGUAAAAGAUGAGUAUGCGUCCCAUUAGCUAGAUGGUAAGGUAACGGCUUACCAUGGCUACGAUGGGUAGGGGUCCUGAGAGGGAGAUCCCCCACACUGGUACUGAGACACGGACCAGACUCCUACGGGAGGCAGCAGUGAGGAAUAUUGGACAAUGGGCGCAAGCCUGAUCCAGCCAUGCCGCGUGCAGGAAGAAGGUCCUAUGGAUUGUAAACUGCUUUUAUACAGGAAGAAACACUCCCUCGUGAGGGAACUUGACGGUACUGUAUGAAUAAGGACCGGCUAACUCCGUGCCAGCAGCCGCGGUAAUACGGAGGGUCCAAGCGUUAUCCGGAAUCAUUGGGUUUAAAGGGUCCGUAGGCGGUUUAAUAAGUCAGUGGUGAAAGCCCAUCGCUCAACGAUGGAACGGCCAUUGAUACUGUUAAACUUGAAUUAUUAGGAAGUAACUAGAAUAUGUAGUGUAGCGGUGAAAUGCUUAGAGAUUACAUGG